CCUUGUAAUUUUGAUGAUGCAGAAUUAGUUAUUGUGAACGUUACUGCACCUUCCAAAGAUUUCCUGAUAACUUGGGCCAGAACAGGUUCUUGAAUAACAAGACUAACCAGAUGCCUCCAAGUGCUUCUACC